rnacentral:misc_RNA from 1 species
GAUGAAGAACGCAGCGAAAUGCGAUAAGUAAUGCGAAUUGCAGAAUUUCCGUGAGUCAUCGAAUCUUUGAACGCACAUUGCGCCCACUGGUAUUCCGGUGGGCAUGCCUGUUCGAGCGUCAUUAUCCUCCCUCAAACCCCGGGUUUGGUGUUGGACCCAAGUUGUGUGAACAACUGGUCUCAAAGACAAUGACGGCGUCCGUGGGACCCUCGAUGCAACGAGCUUUUAGGAGCACGCAUCGAGUUGCAAGGACCUUCCGGGCCGGUCUCCUUUACCAUUUUACAAGGUUGACCUCGGAUCAGGUAGGAAUACCCGCUGAACUUAAGCAUAUCAAUAAGCGGAGGA